rnacentral:rRNA from 1 species
GAUGAACGCUGGCGGCGUGCUUAACACAUGCAAGUCGAACGGAAAGGCCCAAGCUUGCUUGGGUACUCGAGUGGCGAACGGGUGAGUAACACGUGGGGGAUCUGCCCUGCACUUCGGGAUAAGCCUGGGAAACUGGGUCUAAUACCGGAUAGGACCACAUUUUGGAUGGUGUGGUGGAAAGUUUUUCGGUGUGGGAUGAGCUCGCGGCCUAUCAGCUUGUUGGUGGGGUAAUGGCCUACCAAGGCGUCGACGGGUAGCCGGCCUGAGAGGGUGUACGGCCACAUUGGGACUGAGAGACGGCCCAGACUCCUACGGGAGGCAGCAGUGGGGAAUAUUGCACAAUGGGCGCAAGCCUGAUGCAGCGACGCCGCGUGGGGGAUGACGGCCUUCGGGUUGUAAACUCCUUUCGCUAGGGACGAAGCGCAAGUGACGGUACCUGGAGAAGAAGCACCGGCUAACUACGUG